rnacentral:rRNA from 1 species
CCUGGAAACAGAUGCUAAUACCGGAUAACAAUAGAUGAUGCCUAUCAACUGUUUAAAAGAUGGUUCUGCUAUCACUCUUGGAUGGACCUGCGGUGCAUUAGCUAGUUGGUAGGGUAACGGCCUACCAAGGCGAUGAUGCAUAGCCGAGUUGAGAGACUGAUCGGCCACAUUGGGACUGAGACACGGCCCAAACUCCUACGGGAGGCAGCAGGA